AUGAACGCUGGCGGCGUGCCUAAUACAUGCAAGUCGAGCGAACGGACGAGAAGCUUGCUUUUCUGAUGUUAGCGGCGGACGGGUGAGUAACACGUGGAUAACCUACCUAUAAGACUGGGAUAACUUCGGGAAACCGGAGCUAAUACCGGAUAAUAUUUUGAACCGCAUGGUUCAAAAGUGAAAGACGGUCUUGCCGUCACUUAUAGAUGGAUCCGCGCUGCAUUAGCUAGUUGGUAAGGUAACGGCUUACCAAGGCAACGAUGCAUAGCCGACCUGAGAGGGUGAUCGGCCACACUGGAACUGAGACACGGUCCAGACUCCUACGGGAGGCAGCAGUAGGGAAUCUUCCGCAAUGGGCGAAAGCCUGACGGAGCAACGCCGCGUGAGUGAUGAAGGUCUUCGGAUCGUAAAACUCUGUUAUUAGGGAAGAACAUAUGUGUAAGUAACUGUGCACAUCUUGACGGUACCUAAUCAGAAAGCCACGGCUAACUACGUG
rnacentral:rRNA from 1 species